rnacentral:rRNA from 1 species
GAUGAACGCUGGCGGCGUGCUUAACACAUGCAAGUCGAACGGACAGGCCCUGCUCUUGUUGCUUGCUCGUGAGCCGAACGCGUGAGUAAAACGCGUGUAACCUCCCCUUAUCUUUGUGAUAACUUUAGGAAACUGCGGCUCAUACCGGAUAUAAGCUCCUGCUGCACGGUGGUGGUUGGAAAGUUUCGGCCUUUCGGGCUCGACUCGCGGCGUCUCAGCCUGUUUGUGAGGUUGUUGAUUACCAAGGCUGUGACGGGUAGCCGGCCUGAGCGGGUGAUCGGCCACCCUGGGAGGGUGACACGGUCCAUAGUGCUAAGGGAGGGAGCAGUAGGGAAUCUUGAGCAAUGGGCGAGAAACUGACGGAGCAGGGCCGAGUGAGUGACGAAGAUCUUCGGAUCGUAAAACUCUGUUAUGAGGGAAGAACCAAUUUGUAAGUGAGUAUGCGCGUGUUGACGGUAACUAAUCAGAAAGCCACGGCUAAAUACGUG